CUGUUUAUCACACAGAAGAAAAUGCAAAUGCACUGUGUAGCAGUACCAGAAAAGAAGAUUCAAUGGUCCUGGACAGUAAUAUUUUACAAAUUUAACGAAGAAGUAAAGAAAAAAGACGAACAUAUUCAUAAAAUAUGCUGGAUUUUCUGUCGCAUUUAAGGACGCUGUCCUCCUGAAGAUUUUAAAAGUUGUUGGAAGUAUUAUACUUUAGACAUAACAGACUUCAUUACAUCAGUAUACCUACGAAAACAAGUUCCAUCAAGAUCAGAGAUGGUAUCUUACUAUUAAUGACAUGACCUGUGUGUCAUUGAACGAAGAAAAAAAUUCAGAAAAUUGAAGCAGAAUCAACAACUCAGGAGAUAAUUCUAUUAAUUCUUUGACAGUUUCCUCGUGUUUGAAAAAGAAUUCAAUGAAAACUCGUGAUUUAUAUCUUAAUGAUUUUGUAAAGGUCCUAUAUUUUACUAUAACUUAUAUUUUCCUUUUGAAAUUCUUUAAUUAUGCAGAAAAACGUAUUCUUUAAAUCACUGAGCUGUGAUAAAAAGAACAUAUACAUGUGUUUUAUUAUUUCACGCUUGUGCAUUGGAAUGUGCAUUUUUUUUCUUACUUGUUGAUUUAUAUCGUAUAAAAAUAUGGUUUCGGAUGAUACACAUCAUAAUUUGCGUUAAUUUGUAAUAAAUCAUCCUUGAGCAAAUACCUGCAUAUCUUUGAAUGUAUACAAGUCAAAUGAGAAACAGAAUUGAGAUCAGUGAAAUAUUGAGAUAACGAACAGUAUUCAAGCUCAAAAGUCCAUUCAAACAAUUCAAACCAGGAGCAGAGCAAACUUGGACCUCUAAAACAUCAGUCUAAACUAAAAAAAAUAUCUUAAUUGUUAC